UUGCACGCUGGCGGCAGGCCUAACACAUGCCAGUCGAGCGGAUGAAGGGAGCUUGCUCCUGGAUUCAGCGGCGGACGGGUGAGUAAUGCCUAGGAAUCUGCCUGGUAGUGGGGGAUAACGUCCGGAAACGGGCGCUAAUACCGCAUACGUCCUGAGGGAGAAAGUGGGGGAUCUUCGGCCCUCACGCUAUCAGAUGAGCCUAGGUCGGAUUAGCUAGUUGGUGGGGUAAAGGCCUACCAAGGCGACGAUCCGUAACUGGUCUGAGAGGAUGAUCAGUCACACUGGAACUGAGACACGGUCCAGACUCCUACGGGAGGCAGCAGUGGGGAAUAUUGGACAAUGGGCGAAAGCCUGAUCCAGCCAUGCCGCGUGUGUGAAGAAGGUCUUCGGAUUGUAAAGCACUUUAAGUUGGGAGGAAGGGCAGUAAGUUAAUACCUUGCUGUUUUGACGUUACCAACAGAAUAAGCACCGGCUAACUUCGUG
rnacentral:rRNA from 1 species